GCUUGUCUCAAGACUAAGCCUGCAUGUCUAAGUAUAAACGCUUCUAUACUGUGAAACUGCGAAUGGCUCAUUAAAUCAGUUAUAGUUUAUUUGAUGGUUUCUUACUACUUGGAUAACCGUGGUAAUUCUAGAGCUAAUACAUGCACAAAGUCCCGACUCUUCGGAAGGGAUGUAUUUAUUAGAUCCAAAACCAAUGCGAGUCUCUCGGGGCUCGGUUUCUUGGUGAUUCAUGAUAACUGCUCGAACCGUAUGGCCCUUGCGCCGACGGUGCUUCAUUCAAAUUUCUGCCCUAUCAACUUUCGAUGGUACGGUAGUGGCCUACCAUGGUUGCAACGGGUGACGGAGAAUUAGGGUUCGAUUCCGGAGAGGGAGCCUGAGAAACGGCUACCACAUCCAAGGAAGGCAGCAGGCGCGCAAAUUACCCAAUCCCGACUCGGGGAGGUAGUGACAAUAAAUAACAAUGCCGGGCUAUUGUAGUCUGGCAAUUGGAAUGAGUACAAUCUAAAUCCCUUAACGAGGAACAAUUGGAGGGCAAGUCUGGUGCCAGCAGCCGCGGUAAUUCCAGCUCCAAUAGCGUAUAUUAAAGUUGUUGCAGUUAAAAAGCUCGUAGUUGGAUUUCGGGGUGGCCUGCCUGGUCCACCGCAAGGUGAGUACUGGUCAGCCGCCCUUCCUCUCGAAAGCCCCGACUGCUCUUCACUGCAGUGGUCGGGUAGUUCGGGACGUUUACUUUGAAAAAAUUAGAGUGUUCAAGGCAGGCUAUCGCCUGAAUACAUUAGCAUGGAAUAAUGGAAGAGGACCUCGGUCCUAUUUUGUUGGUUUCUAGGGCCGAAGUAAUGAUUAAGAGGGACAGUUGGGGGCAUUCGUAUUUAAUUGUCAGAGGUGAAAUUCUUGGAUUUAUGAAAGACGAACUAGUGCGAAAGCAUUUGCCAAGGAUGUUUUCAUUAAUCAAGAACGAAAGUUAGGGGUUCGA
rnacentral:rRNA from 1 species